UCAGGGGUAAGCGGAACUCAUAGUGUAGGGGUGAAAUCCGUUGAUAUUAUGGGGAACACCAAAAGCGAAGGCAGCUUACUGGGACAUUACUGACACUGAAACAUGAAAGCGUGGGUAGCGAAUGGGAUUAGAUACCCCAGUAGUCCACGCCCUAAACGAUGUUCUCUCGCUAUAUUGAGUAUCGACCCUCAAUGUGGCUUAGCUAACGCGGUAAGAGAACCGCCUGGGAAGUACGAUCGCAAGAUUAAAACUCAAAGAAAUAGGCGGGAACUCGCACAAGCAGUGGAUCAUGUGGUUCAAUUCGACUCUAACCGAGAAACCUCACCAGGGCUUGAAAUCCAAAGGAAAUCCUCCAGAAACGGAGGACCCCGAAAGGCCGUUGGACAGGUGCUGCACGGCUGUCGUCAGCUCGUCUCGUGAGAGGUCUCCUUAAGUGGAUCAACGAGCGCAACCCCUAUCGUGUGUUAUACGUGUCACACGAGACUGCUGCGGUAACGCAGAGGAAGGUGGGGAUGACGUCAAGUCAGCGUGGCCCUCUGAUGCCCUGGGCUACACACAUGAUACAAUGGACGCGACAACGGGUCGCCAAACCGCGAGGUGGAGCUAAUCCCAUCAAACGCGUCCUCAGUUCGGAUAGGAGGCUGCAACUUGCCUCCUUGAAGCUGGAAUUGCUAGUAAUCGCGGAUCAGCAUGCCGCGGUGAAUACGUUCUCGAGUUUUGCACUCACUGCCCGUCAACUCAAGGGAGCCGGUAAUACCUGAAGACCCCUAUAUUCCUGGGGGGACACGGUAGGAUCGGUAACAGGGAGUAAGUCGUAACAAGGCAAGGCUAGCGGAAGCUGGUC
rnacentral:rRNA from 1 species